rnacentral:rRNA from 1 species
UACGAAGGGGGCUAGCGUUGCUCGGAAUCACUGGGCGUAAAGCGCACGUAGGCGGAUCGUUAAGUCAGGGGUGAAAUCCUGGAGCUCAACUCCAGAACUGCCCUUGAUACUGGCGAUCUCGAGUCCGGAAGAGGUAAGUGGAACUGCGAGUGUAGAGGUGAAAUUCGUAGAUAUUCGCAAGAACACCAGUGGCGAAGGCGGCUUACUGGUCCGGUACUGACGCUGAGGUGCGAAAGCGUGGGGAGCAAACAGG